rnacentral:lncRNA from 1 species
CGACUCCGGUCGAAGGGUCAGUCUCCUUCUCCGGUAAGCUUCUCCUCCUCUUCCAUGGAGGCUCUCCACGGUCACAAAGUGCAAUAUCCAAGUGUAAGUUAAACUACCUCUAGAACUCUAUUUCUAAGAAACUUCCCGCUUUGCGGAGAACCUUAACUUUCUCUACAAAUCUCCAAAUCCUACAACAACUACCAUGUCUCGGAGACUAUCUUACGCCGAGAAAGGCAAAGGUAUCGCAAACAACGCAUCCCCACCGAGGAAAUGGAGAGUCAUAGUACCUGAUUUUGAUAGCUCUGAGCUGAUAAGGAAGCAUGAACUCACGCUUAUUGGAAGAGUGACAAAUCCCAAAUACCAACGUAUGUGGUCUCUCAUUCCCUUUCUCUCAGAUCUCUGGAAAUGCAGCUCGAGACCUAUAGGUUCUGACUUAGGACAAGGAAGAUUUCAGUUCCAGUUUGCGUCAAAAGCUGAUUUACAAAAAGUGCUAGACAAUAGGCCUUACCAUUUUGCAAAGUGGAUGCUCAUCAUACAAAGGUGGGAACCUACAGUAUCCCCACGCUUCCCUUCCCAGAUCCCGUUCUGGAUCGAAGUCCAGAAUGUACCGCUACAUUUGUGGAAUGAAGCCAUAUUAAGGAGCAUUGCAGAGGAUAUCGGGACUUUCGAAAGUUGGGAAAUAACUGCGUCGAAGGCGAGAUUCAGAGCACACAUCAAUGGCCUCCAACCCCUCAUCUUCCAGUCCACUAUAGAGUUCAGUAACGGAGAUGAAGUACAGGCGAUGCUGGUUUAUGAAAAACUCGAGAAAUUCGGCACAAUCUGCAAGAAACUUGACCAUGAGUACACUGACUGCCCACAAAAACCAGCUUAGAAACCAGCUGAGAUAGAUCAGCAUAGAGGAGGCAAGCCAAAGACUGAGGAUCACAUGGUGC